GAACACACCCGAUCUCAUCUGAUCUCAGAAGCUAAGC
ensembl:rRNA 5S_rRNA 5S ribosomal RNA